rnacentral:rRNA from 1 species
AAUGAACGCUGGCGGUAUGCCUAACACAUGCAAGUCGAACGGCAGCACAGUGAGUGCUUGCUCUUACGGGUGGCGCGUGGCGGAAGGGUGAGGUAUACAUCGGAAUCUACUUUUUCGGGGGUGCUAACGUAGGGUAACUUACGCUAAUAACGCAUACGUCCUACGUGUGAGAGCACGGGAUCUUCGGACCUUUCGCGAUUGAAUGAGCCGAUGUCGGAUUCGCUAGUUGGCGGGGUAAAGGCCCACCACGGCGACGCUCCGUAUCUGGUCUGAGAGGAUGGUUACACACACGGGAUCUGAGACACGGCCCAGACUCCUACGGGAGGCAGCAGUGGGGAAUACUGGACGAUGGGCGAGAGCCUGAUACAGCCAUACCGCGUGGGUGAUGAAGGCCUUCGGGUUGUAAAGCCCUGUUGGUGGGAAAGAAGAGCAGCAGGUUUAUCCGCCGCUGUUCUGACGGUACCCAAAGAAUAAGCACCGGCUAACUUCGUG